AUGCAACAAAGAGAUGUGGCAUUCAGCAGGGCCUCCUGCCUUACCUGGGGGGAAUACACCUGGGCCAGCUGUGAGUCCCAACAGAAUAGCAGGUUCACUGUACCUAAUAAUACCGAACCCAGUUGUGACGUAUGUUCUGGGAAACCUGGUUGCAUUACAGUGUCAGAAGUGGCACAAUGGAAAGUGCCAGGACACCUGGGUUUCAGUUUAAGUGUGUUUAAUUAUGUGACCUUUGGUUCAACACUUAAAAUAGGUGUUGCUAAGUCAUUGCAGUUAUUAAUGUGGGUGUAUAUACUUGGAAGAAAUAUAAGAAGAUGGGCUGGAGAACGACAAGUCCACUGCAGAAAGACACUGAGCAUGAGUCGUAAAACUAUCUCCAAUCACCCGCUCAUCGUUGACUUUUUCCCCAGUAGUCUCUUUAAAAACUAAAUAAAUAAAAGUCG
rnacentral:lncRNA from 1 species